rnacentral:rRNA from 1 species
UACAGAGGUCUCAAGCGUUGUUCGGAUUCAUUGGGCGUAAAGGGUGCGUAGGUGGCGCCGUAAGUCAGGUGUGAAAUUUCGGAGCUUAACUCCGAAACUGCAUUUGAUACUGCGGUGCUUGAGGACUGGAGAGGAGACUGGAAUUCACGGUGUAGCAGUGAAAUGCGUUGAGAUCAUGAGGAAGACCAGUGGCGAAGGCGGGUCUCUGGACAGUUCCUGACACUGAGGCACGAAGGCCAGGGGAGCAAACGGG